UACAGAGGGGGCAAGCGUUAUUCGGAAUUAUUGGGCGUAAAGCGCGCGUAGGUGGUUCGUUAAGUUGGAUGUGAAAUCCCCGGGCUCAACCUGGGAACUGCAUCCAAAACUGGCGAGCUAGAGUAUGGUAGAGGGUGGUGGAAUUUCCUGUGUAGCGGUGAAAUGCGUAGAUAUAGGAAGGAACACCAGUGGCGAAGGCGACCACCUGGACUGAUACUGACACUGAGGUGCGAAAGCGUGGGGAGCAAACAGG
rnacentral:rRNA from 1 species